UACAGAGGGGGCAAGCGUUGUUCGGAAUUACUGGGCGUAAAGGGCUCGUAGGUGGCCAACUAAGUCGGACGUGAAAUCCCUCGGCUUAACCGGGGAACUGCGUCCGAUACUGGUUGGCUUGAGUUUGGGAGAGGGAUGCGGAAUUCCAGGUGUAGCGGUGAAAUGCGUAGAUAUCUGGAGGAACACCGGUGGCGAAGGCGGGUCUCUGGGCCGAUAUCGACGCUGAGGAGCGAAAGCGUGGGGAGCGAACAGG
rnacentral:rRNA from 1 species